ACAUGGCACUUAAUGCUGUGGUCUAGUUGACAAGGUGGCGAUGGGUCAAAGAUUGGACUCUGUGACCUUGGAGGUCUUUUCCAACCUUAAUGAUCCUGUGAUUUUAUAACUUAUACAGG